UAUGGUUUUACUCAAUUUCACUAAAUAAAUAAAUUACUAAAGUAAAAAAAAAGAAAAUCUCCUCUCCCUCCCCUUCCCGGCCCAGCCCGCGACUCUCUCUCCCCUCCUCUCUCCCUCUCUCUGGCAGGUGGGCCCCACGUGUCGGGGUCAUCCCUAACCUCUGUGCUCGCCUAACCCCGCCGCCCGCACGCCGCCUCGCGUCGCGCGCUCGCCUCGUUGCCCGCGCAGCCACACACGCGCCUAACCCCUUCCCUACCGUCGCCGC
rnacentral:lncRNA from 1 species